UCUGCACCCUAGAAGUAAAGAUCGCAAAGCCAAAACCUGAAGUUCAGGCUGUGUCAAAUCUGUGAUGUAAGCUCCCAAAAGUGAAGCAAUUUUUAGGGGAGGCAAGAAGCUGUUGCUAUCCAGUUGUAUUUUACAGCACUGACACGUCUGCCAGUGCUAGCCUCUAGGUUGGGUAAGGAUAGAGUGACUGCUUGAAACCCUGCGAGCUGUUUGACGUUUAAAUCACAGAUAUCAUUAACAGGUUCUUAAUUCCUGACUGCUUUAUGAUAGGCAAGAUACAGAAGUGGUAUAAGGGGACAGAAUUUCUUCAAAUCUAAAGCCUUUACAUAGACUUGGGUAUGAGGUAAAAGUCUUAAUUUACUGGAAUCUAAAAGUAUCAUGCAUCAAUGAUGUGGCUAGGAGUUAUCUAAUAUAUGUUGUGUAGCAAGUGACUUGCCAGUGCUUUCUAUGAUGUGCUGAUAACAACUAAAAUAUUGGCAGUAUUUAGAAUUCUGAUUUCCAGAUCUUGAGAAUCUAGGAACUGUGAAGCAGAGAUAAUGAAAAGAACUGAGGACUGCUGGCCAAUAUAAAUGUUUUUGUCUAAUUGAGGUGCUUUUUCCUUUUCUGUUACUGCUGAUUAUGGAGAGAUUUUUGAUUAACUAGAGCUCUUUUUUUUUUUUUCCCCAAUAACUGUCUUAUUAAGCCUGUUUUUUGUAGUGAUUCUUCUAUCCUUACUUUUCAGGAGCUCAGUGAUGUGGAAACUGAUCUGUCCAAGAUAGAGGCAAGGAAUAUUUUUUAUUCAGCAAACCCUAUUUCUCCCUUCGGAUGUCAACUGUAAGGAAACCUCAAAGGCUGUGUCAUGCUAUUGUGAUUUCAAGUUACACAAGUAUAUUGUAGCCAAAUAUCUUUUUAAAAAAAGCAUCUAUAUUAAUGCCAGUCUCCAGGGGGUUUAAAUUUAGUGGUCUUAGGUGGGAUUAACUGUAGUAAAUUGGUACAACUUUAUGUAGUACCCAGUAAAAAGCAAUUACACUGCAGUCACUUUUGUAGUAGUUUCUUCACAGAAAGGAUUCAGUGUGGGCUUAAGGAAUUAUUCCCUUACCAGUCAUGUUCCUGUACUGCCCGCUUUGCCAGGGUAACAGUUUGAAAAGUAAUCCUGUGACAAGAUUCCUGAAAUUCCCUCAGAAAUAUUCACAUUCCUCUCCCAUCCUAUUUUUUUUUUUUACUUUUUAUCUGCUUGCUUUGUGGCCCCACAAAAGGCUGUUUGGUUCAAGGAUAUUGAAGAGGAGGGGGCUGGGAACUGUGAUGCUGUUGAAUUGCUGUGUUGGAGCUUUGGCCUGAGGCCCUGCUGAUAAUUAACAGGUUUGUGACGGUUCAGUGACCAGAUCUUGGAGGGAAGGAUGACAAGAUAGGAAGAAUACUGGUGUGGUGAUGUGGAAAGGGAGAGAACUGGGCAGCUGCUGCAGUUCUGGUUGUUUUUAGAACUGGCAAACUGGUUAAGAUGUCAUUUGGAAGCUGGUCAGGAGGAGGCAGGGAGGUACACAGAGCUGGGUGUUUGGGUGCAAAAAGAGAAGGUAUUCUGAUGUAUUCUGGUGCAAACACAGCUUGGUGAAGAAUAAACUGUUCACGUGGAGAAUUUCAACAUAAAAAUGUCCUAUAUCUAUAUAUUAAGCAAAGCUAUUUGGCUAGUCCACAUCGAUCACUGUUGAUGACAGCUAAACAGAAGGAAUGAUCUAUGUUUUCACUUGCUGUCUCAAGCCUUGCGCAUACUUAGCUAACAUUAAUGCUAAUGGUUGUUUAAUACUCUAUAUGGAAUGUGCAGGGGAAGCUUUCACGGUGGCGGGUCGCUGACAGAUGUUUACAUUGUAAAAGCCUUCAUUUCAAACAGCUUCCCUGCUUCCAACGAGCUCCCGGGGGAGGCAAAGGGCUUCGUAAGUUUGGAGAUUUGGAGAUUCGUUUCCUUUUCCUUCUUUCUCUGUCCGCCUAUCAAAAUGUUGAUGCAUGCAGAUGGUUUGGGGAUCUAACAACAGCAGUAUAAUUCCUGACAUACAGGUUUUAAAAAGGAUUGAGUUUUCUACAUCUGUCCGUUCACAGACAGUACCAUUUCUUAAAGGACAAUAGAUGACAUCUACUGAACUGGCUGUCCUGCUUGUGUCCUGGCUACGUUAUUAUGUUUAACAAGUGCGUGGCCUGGCAGGAAAAAGUGACCUCGCAUUCUGAAAAUUUGCCUUUGGUCACUUCAACUUGCUUCUUUUUAGCUGUCAGAUGUGUGUUUUAGAGCACGGUGAGCCUCAGAAUGCCUGUCUAGAGGAAAAAGAGGGGAAAAAAGCCCACAUCCUGAGACUUGGACUUGACAUAAAUUUCUAAAAUAUUUACAGAGAACAGAAAGUCCAAUUACAUCAAAGUCGCCUGAUGGGCAGGCAGCAGCAGCACACGAUGCUCAGCUAAUGAGGGGUUUUGGUGGCUUGGAACAUCUCCCAGUUGGGCUCCCUGGGCUGGGAGGGUUUAGCAGUUGGCAGAGGUGACAUCUGUAUGCUGGCAUCUGAUCCAAGAGCUUGGAUUGAUCUGGCGGCACAAAAGGCCCCGUUCCUGUGUUGGCUGGAGAGACAGCACACUGCUUGUGCAUUGCUGUAAAGGUCACUAAGAUGCCAGCUCUUUCCCUGAACUAUUUAUCAGAUUUCUGUUGUUCUGCUUUUUGCCUAAUGUUUAUUGUCUAAUAUAUUGUGUUCUCCCUUGAUGUGUAGUAUGGUUUGAAGAGCUGAAGCUGGUAACUUGGCUUCAUCUUGUUGGAUACUAAGUGGUUUUCCAGGAAACUUCAGCGUGAUGACAUCAGUAGAGCAAGAACAGCAGCAUGCAUAAAAUGAAUCUUCUUUACCCUGGUUGGUCUGGGUCCACAGUGAAAGCAAGAAGGAGGCAACGUUCGCAUGGAUUGAGCGGGCUGUCAGUCUGGUAGACCUGAGUGACCUGGAAUGCAGGCAACUUCCAAAGUGGCCCAGAUCAUGCAGUUCAUGCCUUCUGUAAGUUCAGUUGUCUCAUCUGCUGAAAUAUCUGUUUAAUUAGGGGAAAGUUUGGCAUUAUUCUGAAAAAUAGUAACUCCUGUGUUAGUGUAAAUUCAAGCUGACCUAGAUAACUGCUGGGUUCUGGUGUUGCUGCUGAUUGUUGCAAGAGGAGAAACUGUGUAUGGAGAUUGACUUUAAUGUUUCCUCAGCUCUCUAGGACAGCUUUUAAUAGGCAGGCAGGAAGGUGGCUCCAGCUGACCACUGUCUGUUCUGCAGAGGAUGUCACACUGCAACUCAGACAAUUAGAUAAGGCUGCAGGAUUCUGUCAAAUGUUCGCUUUCCUCGCUGAAAUGUUGGGCUCUAAGAAGUUUUAAGGACCUUCCACCCAGUAACACUCCAGCCCUGGAAAUAUCUGAGUUUUUGCAAAAGGGGUUUAACUCUUCCCGUGCUGUGCUUUGAUUUCAGCUUUUGUUCUUGCUGCCUCUAUUGUCUGAAAAGAGCGAAUAGGAAGAAGGUUGGUUUGAUCUCCCUUUGUGCUGUGAUCUACCAUCCGUGCCAUAAAUCCAGAGGUUUUACAUGGCAGAAGGAAGAACGUGCACCAUCUGGCCUUACACGGGUGUAGAGACUCUUUCAGGGGCUAACCUCAUUUGCUGCUGGGCUCUUGGCCUUGGGAAGGAAACGGAGCUCCUGGGCACGCAGCCCUGGCCUGAAGGGAAACUGCUGCGGGUGAGGCUGCUCUUCCUCACCCCUGCCCCGAGGGGAGGGAAAAGCGUGUGUCCUAUUUCUAACCCUGGAUUAGCCCUAGUGCCAGCCCCGUGACGGCUGCUUUUUCACUAGGAUGCUAGCGAGAGGAACUGAGUAGUUCUGUGGGACAUUGCCAGUGGGGCUUUCACUGAGAUGGAAGUGUCCUGAUGAAGACUUCAAAGACAAAUGGCAGCUGGUGAGGGGAGGAGACGAGCUCUUAAUCCCAUUAUGCUUUAAAAGCAGGGCAACAGCAACUCCAUUUUGUGAAAGGCUGGAUGGUGUUAAGUCUUCCAGCAUACGUCUGUCAGAAAAAAAGCCCUUGUGCUUCAGGCUGAGAACUGCCUAAUGAGCGUGUGGAACCUGAUUAGCAUAGGAAGAGCUAAAUGCUGAACUGGUCUUACCAGUGCAGCUCCAAGUGCACGCAGAAAGGCAACAUAAGGUGUCAGAGCAGUUCCAGGAAGAAAAGAGAAGUAUCCCAGGGAGUCUGUGUGCUCCGGGGUCAGCGUCAACUGGAGAAAGGAAUUUUCCAGGACUUUAGGUGCUUGAAUUUUACUUCAACACCUUUAUUAUGUCUGUCCCUCAACCCAAACUAAGGGAACAUCUUGUUCCCCACUGCUGUGGGCAGCCACCAGCAGCACUCGCCUUCCUCUGUUUGUUCCACGCGCUGAUACAGAUCUAGUGCUGCGCAGUGUACACAGUCAUUCUUCGGGCUAGUUUUGGCAUGUUACUUGCAGCUUUUUGCUGUUUUAUUGCGGAAUCUGAUUGACACAAUGCUGGGAUGUCGGUGGAAAGGUCUGCAGUGUCGCUCUGGGAGAUUCCAUAAUUCCGCAAGGCACAGAACUUGUUAAAGCAAGCUCGGGGUGCUUUGGGAACUUGACCUUGUUUUCUGAGAGGCCAGCUGCGGUUUGCAUGCAUCGUCUGAUGGACUGGAGAUUGAGUCAAUGCUACAGCGAUUUCCUUCUGGUUUUCUUUUUGAUCUGUGAAACGCCUGGGAGCUGUGUUGAAGAGCAGCACGGUUUUGGCAAGCAGUCCGUAGCCAGCCAGUGCUGCCUGGCAGAGGCUGAGAUUUCCAGCACCUGCCGGUUGUUUUGUGAGCACGGGUGGGUGGAUUCUCGUGUUAGCAGUUCAGCGAAGGUACAAAGCCUCGUGGUGGAUGUCCUGAGAAGAAGCUGGCAAUGUCCACAAACCCUAGGCCUAGAUUUUACGAUGGCACAGAAUUUGGUACCUGUAUCAUGAGACAAAGUGUGCCCUGGGCAAGGCAGCCACUGCAGGACAGGGCUAGAGCUGCUGUUUGCGGUGUGGUGGGAUGAGGAGUAUGGGGAAAGAAUUCUUGGAAAACUGAGGAGUUGCAGUGUGAAUAGGGGCUGUUGUUGGCAUGGCAGCUGCACAUCAGCCUGGCUAUGGACAGUGAGUUUGUUCUUCCAGGAGCAGAAAGGACACACGUUGGGGUGAGCUCAGGGGUGGGGGGAGCUUUUCUGCCUGCCCCUGUUUUGCUUGGUGAAGGUUGGUCUCAAACCUCAACUGAAGGUCUCUGCUAGUGCUCGAGUCCUGCAGGAGGGCAAUGAUAAGAGAAACUGACUUUUAAGUUACAAAUUCUGUCUGGGGUGUCGUGCCUCACUGAAUGCAGGGCAGGGCAGGAACAAGCGCAAGACCAAAGCGUCGAUGUUUUGCAAUCACAAUGCGCUGGAGCUGUGUGACUUGGUUCUGAAUGCAUGAGCUGGUCGCAGCUUGAUUGUUAGCCUCUGAUGUUAUCUCACCCCAACAGUAAAGCAGUGUUCUUUGCCUGCCUCUGUAGGAAAAAUUGACUCCGCCACCUGCAAAAAUAGCAUGGGUUUAUAGCAGCCCCGGCUUAUCAGGUCUGGGGAUUUUGUUGUUGUUGCUGAAGUCUAUUUCAGUUGGUUAUGGUAGUGCUCAGUCUCAGAGAAACACUGAGCUGGACAUGCCAAGCAGCUCUUGGAGGCUGGCCAUUGCUGAAGAGCAAGGCUAGAGAAUUUUACCCCUCUGCUCUUAAAGCUGGUGAUGUCAGCAAAAUCCUGUGUUAUUCCUAGGAUUAUGUGCAAGUGUGAGUUUGUACUGCCUCCAAAAGAACUAAUUAAAAGGGAAGUUUCUGGGUGCUCUCAUGAUUUUGCACAUUCCCCUCAAGCUGCUCCAGGAGGCUGAUGGGGAUAACUCUUACCAUAUGAAUUUAGGUCUCUCUGUCUCUAUUUAAACAAAUAGCAGGGGGCUUGACCUUGUUAGGUGAAUAGCUGAGCCCGCUAAACCGAUGUCAGAAGGCUCCUGAGCACUCCGAGCCUGGUGACUGCCGAUGACAGGCCAAGUGGGAUUGGUUGGAGCGGGCGCCUUGAAGCAGCAGUCUCUUGGGCUCUGCUCCUGGCAGUCGGGGCUGGUCGACCUUGUCAGGGCUGUGUGUGUGUGCGAGGAGACAUCCUGCACGCCAUGGGGGCAUGGCAGGGCGUCUCGCUCUGCCACAGAGCCCAGCCCAUUUUCCUCUUGAGGUGAACUUGCAGGGUUUCUUCAGCAGCAGUAGAGCUGACCUACAUUUUCCAUGUCAGCCCCUGGUCGCCGCUCUCGAUGCUGCCCCACUUAGCUAAGAGCUUUUUGUGCAGCGUCCCACGGGCUUUGCAGAGCCUCGGCUCUCGGCUGCAGUUAACUGCUUCUGAGGUGUCCGUGGCUGAUAGCAGAACCUGAGGCCAUGACUGCAAUUAGAUUGGUUCUCUUUGGCAUUGUUUGUGCGUCUUCAGUUUGGGCAUUAAACAACACAGCAGCAGGCUUGUGUUAGAUUGCUGGGGAAAGAAGUUGGCCGGUGGUGAGGAAGGUACCCGGUGCUCUAGUAGAGUUUGGUUUAGAGCAGCUGAAUCGUUGGGGAUGAAAUGUUAGAAAGCUGUCUUCAGGUGCUCAGGGCUCUGCAGGCUGAGCAGAGGGUGGGAUGCUCGUCUUCAUUCUGCAGCUUCUGCGGGCUUGGCCUGUAGUUUUUCCUGAGGCUUUUUUUUCAGAGCUGAGAUUGUGAAACAAAUGAGCUUUCUCCUCUACCAAGUGCUUUCCUCAUUUCUCACCCACCAGCCUGGGGGUGGCUGUGGGUUUGGAUCUUACGCAAUCACAUUCACCUCAGUGUAAAACGGGGCUGUUUUCUGCCCCCUGUACUGGAGCUUGAUGUAAUUUGCCUGUAAUGCCUGAGGGUGCUGGGAACCAUUUCUCUUCCCUCCGCAGCCGUCAGAACGGGGCCCAUCCAUGCGGUGCUUUGGAGCCAGGGCUGUGCAGCGAGGUGAGGAGGAGGGGGGGGGGGGGAUGAAGCUGUUUAUCUCAGCAUCUCUUACCCGACAUGCUCUCGCACUUGAGUACCUAGCAACCCACUGAGCUUCGCAAAGUUUUCUCUGUGUGGCUCUACUCCAGAAGUGCUGCUUGCAGUUCAUUUGGGGACUAGUUAUGCUUGCAGAUCAUAACUAAAAAAAAAUGUUUAAAGAUAAGUUAAGGGUUUGGUCUCGGUUCACUCCCCAGUGCUGUGCUGUCAACGCAGAAAUGCUGAAACCAUCCUUGCACUGUAACUAGCCAUGGCAGCAGUACUGAGUGGAAGCUGAAGCUGUUUUCUGAACAAUGGAUUAAUUAAUAUAAUCACCAGUCUACAUUUGGUAUCGGUGCUGUUGACAAAUAUUGAUGCAAGUAGAAGAGGGUACCAGCUCAGCUGGGCAGCAGGGGUAACUUUUACAAGCUGUUGGUACACUACGUGUGUGCAUUCUUCCGAGAAACUGGACUUCAGCUGCCUUUAGUCGAUAGAGAGCUUUGUUUUUCUCAUCGUUUCCUGAACACCAGCCUAGAGAUGUUUGUUAAUGGGGCAAUUUCUUCCCUAAUGGGCUGAACAAAUGAUUUUAAUAGUUUAGCUCAGGUGUCUGUGCAGUGUAACGGACCGCUGCUGUUUGUUGGCCUGUGCUGGGAGCAGCUCCGGGAGGUUAUUUGGUGACAGUGCUAUUGGUGUGCGCAGGAGCCGGUCUAUAAAUAAGGUGGAGGGAAGAGCUGCAGCUGCAGAUAAAAGCUGUGCUGAACUCGGUUCUGACAGCCUUGGCCCAGAGGUUAGGAGCAGAGCUCAGCUUGCUGGGAACAACACUACCAUAGUAGGAAGCAGCCUUCUCCUCCAGCCCUAUGUAUUAAUGCAGCGCCUACCAUCAUAUAGCGGAGCUCAGCCGCGGAAUUCAGCUCUAGUAUUUUUAAACCUCGUGCUGUUGUGUUUGAAGGGGCUUAGACAUGUCACCUAAUUUGGAUAACGCUGUUUGCUGGCAUCAUGGGCUAGUUCGAGAGGCAUUACAGUUAAUUUAAAACGCAUUACUCCCCUUUGAAGUUGGCUGCAGUUUAAUAGUUAGAGAGGCUCUGCUUGUGCCCUUACUUCCCUCCGCUUACUCCAAACAAAACGUAGUUUAUGGGAGUCAGAGCAGAGCAUUACAGGACACUUGGCUAACCCAGCUUUUACCCUUCGGAGUGCUUUAGCCUUGCCUAAUGCUGUAACAAGGGCUCUGACGCUGUGACCUGGUGGGACUUGCACUGCUGGAGCGUGCUUACCGGCAAAAUUGCCUAAGUUUUGAGGAAGGGAAUAAUCCAUGACUAACAGAAGCAGCCGUAAGCAGGCUGUUCAUGGCUCGUAGCAAAGGCACUCUUGGUUAAUCUUCCUUUUACCUAUGGAAGGGGUAGAGGCUAGCAGCUACUGAGGGCUGGGACAAUUUAGGAAAUGGAGAAGGACAAAAAAUAGAGAUGUAGUUGGGAAAGAAAUGUUUAUUUUAAGUUUCUCAGAGGGAUUUACAAACAAUGGAGCAUUUUAAAAAAAAUUGAGUGAUCGAAGUACUUGACAGUGUCCCUUAAACACACACACAAGCCCCUGGACAGAGGAAGUCACACCAGCGAGGAGGUCAAUACUGCUGGAAGAGCAGCUGGCAUCUGCAUAGUUCUAGAAGGAAAGAUUGCAAUGCUGUUGGUGCAAAUAUGUGUCAUCCUGGCAUUAAUACAAGAGCACGCUGAAGUAUGUACGCAUGUACCUGCAGAAAACAAAGUGCAUAAAAUAACACACAAAGUAUGUAUUGUAGAAUAAAUUUAUUUACCUGAUACAAAUGAAACUAGGUGUGAUGCUUCUUACUGUCAGCAUGUAAAUAGACAACUGAUCUUAUUUACAAGUUCUAAAGGUCAUACAUGCAGUUGUGGUAACUGGCUAAGUCAUUUGCUGCUUUCUAAAUAAAUGCAUCACAAUAUUUUGUAUUGCACCAACAUCUGUCUUACUGCCUUAGAUUUAAAUAAGUUACAUUACAGUGCAAAACAGGUUGAUUUGCACACAUGAUAAAAAAAUCCAAAGGUAUGAACUGGAGGCUUACAGUUUAACAUUCAUCUGUAAUCUUUUCAAUGAGUUUUAUAAAUAGGAUAGCAUUGUACAUAAGCUGUUAUAAGUAGUAUGUUUGGAUGAUACAAUACAGAGAUUUGUCUACAACCGAAGGCAUGCAGUUUUGAUAUUGUACAUUUUAUAAACUGACAUUUUACAUACAGGAAUAUGGAAAAUUGGCUGACAGCUCGGCGAUUCUUGUUCAAAGAUAAACAAACUCUUCUCCAUGCUGCACAGAACCCAAACUUCUCUGCAGAGAGUUUCCAAUUCUGUAACUAUAUUGCACAUUUGUACAUCUGAAGUCCUAAUGGUACCACACAUUUCUUCCACAGAGAACACAAUGAGUUUUGUUUUUAGGGAAAGCAAAGAAUCUUUACACAUGAUACAUGCAGAAGUUUUGGUAGAUGUGUUGCUAAAAACACAUGCACGCAACAAAACAACCUUACAUUUCUGCAAAAUUGUUUAAGAAGCGAUUACUCCAGUAUUGCUGAAAAGGAAAGAAAGAAAAGGAAACAGUUAAUAAAAGGAUGAAUGCAAAGUAUCAUUAUAAAAGCAAGACUAAGAUCAACAGUGACAGAAGAAAGAAUGUUAAGUCUGAUAAUGACUGCUCUGUCAUUAAAGGGACACUCUCAGGUUACUUUGUUCUUAAAGCCCAGGACACUCUGGAUUAUGUCUCAGCUCUUCCGAUUUUAGCAGAGCUCCCUUCAUCAAAGUCAGCACCUCCUCCAGAAGACCAUAAAUGAAAAAGAAUUGAGGUAUGUUUGGAUAGUUUUUGCAUUUCUUUGCCUGACUAGUGGUAAUAGUAAAAAGUAACGGGAGACUCAUCUGUCUUUCUUUCAGCUUCUCAUAGUACCCAGUUUGAGCUACUUUUUUCCCCUUUUAAAAAAAAACUUGGUGUUCUUCUGAUCAAGGCAUUAUAGUGCAAAUUUGGCCCUGAAGUGACCUAACAAUGUCCCUUUUUCAAGUUAUGCAGCUUAUUCUGGGAAGCAGUAGGAAAGCUCUGAAGAAGUCAUUAAACUACACAGAUUAAUGCGUAGGCAAAGGGUAGAGUACAGUAUAACUACUACUGUACUUUACCCUUGAAAUACAGCAUAAGGUUAGCCUUGGGUCUGGAAAAAGUGUACUCUGAUUGCCUAGAACUAAAUGGUGGCUCUUCAAAACACUGCUUAACACUAAAAUUUAGGCUCUCCUGCUAAGAUUUGAGAAUGCAUAAUAUUAAUGUAAUUAAGGAUGUAAUUAGCAGAGAUUAGGGAAACAGUUAAUGGUUAGAAGUGCAAGAAGGUAAACAAGACAGGUGCAAGACAGACAACUUUGUAUCAGUUUUACCUCCCUUCAUCUCAGCAAAUUUAACCAUCUUUAAGCAGUUUACCAUGUACAUUCUGUGCAUCAGCUGUGUUCUUCGAACAGUGACAGAGGACUGCUGUACUGCAUUUUAUCAUCAGAUUAAAAACUCAUUUUCUUACCAUGAGCCUUCUCCAGAACGGCCUCUCUACAACCAUCAGCUCUGCAGCACUUUGAGAGACUGGUAUGUAUUUUUCUGCAGCUUCUUUCAUACUGAUGUAUUUGCAGUAAUGCUUUGAGAAACCAACCAUGGACUAAUUUUAGUGCCUGGGUACAGGCAGGAAGGAGCAGCCAGUUGUGCAGCUCAAAACCAGUACUUUGAAUCACUCCCAUUGGAAAGCUGAGAGCACCUGGGGCACAACAAAGAUAAAAGCCCUUGUCUCCAUGUUGCUGGCAUAUGACUGCAGCUGCCUGACCAUCAUCUUUGCUCUGCUUUGGACCAGCCUACAGAACACUUAAUUCAGGAGGCACUGCUGUCAUAGCAAAACCCACUGGUUUCCCAGCAUAAGCUGGGAUCCUUCCUGGUGUUUCUCACAUAUGGUACCAUCAGUCACAAUCAAUGUUAAUCUUACACACCCCUCACAUGCUAGAAAAUAAGCAGCAAGGUGUGAGGAGUUCAGAAAACCAGAGAGAUGAAGCUCAGUGAGAUGAGAGCAAAGGGAAACAAAAGGUAUGAAGUUAUUUUCUAAAAUUAAGAUGGGAAAUAAAACCUGAAAGCCCACAGCAGAGCAAUUUUAGGGCUGGGUGCUUGACCGCAGGGGGAGAAGCACAUGGUAGGUCUUGCUGUUUGGCCAGUCCAGACCACACCAGGCUGGCCUACAUCUUAUAGUGGCAACACCUGGAGAACAGAAGUACUGAAGUCUAACAGCAGUUGCCACUGAAUCAGCAAUAGUUUAGUACUGAUCAUAGGGAACCCUAUUGCUCCACUUCUGCAAAGAAGGCUAGACAGCAAGACCAGGAGACAUCUAAAAAUAAUAAAGAAAAGCAAGGUAGAUUAAGAUUGCUUGGGCUCUUUAGGCAUACCCUACAAAACCAGGCUCCUGAGGUUGCAGAAGUCAGGAGGGAUAAACACCACUCCAUUCACCCAGCAGCAGUCUAGCUUUCAAAGGUAAACUCCAAGAAACAGAAGGCUCCUACUGCAAGUGAGACCCUGAGAUGACUGAUACGAGUGAGCCCUCAGCAAGAUUUGUCUUCAACAUGCACAAAUGAGUGUGCCAGACAAAGAUUCAACAGAAGGUGUCAAAAGACUGAAUUUUAAUUUAUCCAUUUUCCCCUUCAGCGUCUUAGAGAUGCGGAGAAAGGUGUUGUAUAGCAGCAUUAUUUGGUGUAAUAGACAGGAAAAGAACUGUACAAGAAGAAUCGCUCACAAAUAUUGCCACAUACGUGGCUUAGAAAAGCCCACCAACACGGGUGCUCUAGAGGUGUACACAGAGCCAUUGCUCAAAGAUUCGGUGGCUGUCCCUGCCCCCUUGAAAAAAUCUAGCCACAAUUCUGGGAGCAGGUUUGCUAGCAUUGUUUCCAACAAGUGACAGUGGACUUGGAUACACAUUUUGAUCGCAAGGAAUGCUAAAUAACAUGACCUAUAAGUUUCCCGUUUCAAGCCUUAAAAUGCUCAGUUAGUAUUCAGACAGCAUCUGACUGGUGCUGGCCAUCGGUUUUGUGGUAUGCAUAACAUCCAGGUUGGCAAAGACAGGUUCUUCCUUGCAUAGAGGGCAUUCAAGUGAGUUCAAUGCUUACAGUUCUACAAAACACCUCUUACAUCAUCACAUCUAUCUCCCCCUACCUGAGUCACUUCAGCAUCUGUUAAAGGAUAUCAACAUUUACAUAAACAGUGAGUAUUUGCAAUGCAGUGGACUUUCAAAUAGGGUCUGUAUUCUGAGGUUGGCACGUAUAUCUGAAUAUAUCUGAAAGCUUGAAACCAAAAGGAUUAAUCUGUGCUCACUGGAUUCCAGCUGGCACUAAAAGAGCAGAGAGGAAAAUGGUAGUUAAAAGCUACGAGGAGUAAGAAAGCUGUUUGAAUUUGGUUAUUAAAGCAGAUUUCGAGCCAACACAAGAUAACACAGCACCUGCUACUCAACAAAGGCAUUAUGACCCUAGUACGAUUUUCAAAGACUAUCCUGUGAAGCCAAGACUGUUCUUUUGUCUUUUUGUAUGACCACUGUUCAAAGUGUUUCCAUUCACUGAAAACAAUAAGCUGUUUUUGCAAAGAGGAGCAGAGAAGCACCUGCACAUUGAGCGCUGUGUGGAUUAUUCCUAGAGAAGGGCUGGUGUGCUCAGAGGGGCCUCCCCCAUUUCAGAGGAGGAAAAAGCCUCAGAGUAAACCAGCACCUGACCACGAGUACUAGUGUUCUGCACACUGAACAGUCAUAUAAACACCUGUCGUUUGUCUUAAGUUACAGAUUUAUCCAAUUUUAUCUCGAACUUAAGACAAAAAAAAGCUGUAGGAUCUUGGGGUACGCUAAGGCUCCUGGCUGCUCUAAAAUGCACUAAAACAAAAGCAAGCGCUUUACCUUCAGAAUCAGUAAUUUGAGCUUCACACCACAGAACGAGAGUCUAAAGUGGUGAUAAUAAUGUAGCACAGCAGAAUUUGACAAAACACAGCAUGGGAAUGAAGGAAAUUACUAUUUAUUCUUCAACAUGUAUACAGCAUAUGCUAUUUUACAGCAAGUCACCACUGGCAUGGUGAAAUGGAAGAGAAAUACUCACUUUAGUCGAUGAAAGUUGGAAGGCAUUGGAGAAAAACACCACAGUUAGGACUGUUAAUGACUUACACGUUGUUGAUACAGGACUGAAUUUGAAAACAUGCUUUAACAUUUACCGUAAUAAUGAAGGUGGUUAGUGCCACAUUAAAAUAAAAAUAGUUCUAUACAAUAUGUUCAAUUUGGUCAUGUGCUAUUUACAGAUUUUACAAAACACACACACGAGCUUGUUACUUCAAGUCAGGCUAACAACAGGCCAGCAGAGUAACUCCAUGUAUACAACUUAGCAUUAGUGCCCUAAGUGUAGGAAAUCCAAUUUCUAGCUAUGCAGUGCAAGUUAUUUUUCCAGGUCUCAUUACAAGUUUUGAUCUUAAAGGGGGGAA